rnacentral:rRNA from 1 species
GAUCCGCCCGGGAAUUACGAACAUAAGUUUAAAACCCCAAGGACUUGGCGGUGCUUUACAUCCACCUGAGAGGAGCCUGUUCUAGAACCGAUAAUCCCCGUUAAACCUCACCCUCUCUUGUUCCAUCCGCCUAUAUACCACCGUCGUCAGCUUACCCUGUAAAGGAACAACAGUAAGCAGGAUUGGUACAACCCAAAACGUCAGGUCGAGGUGUAGUGUAUGGGAGGGGAAGAAAUGGGCUACAUUUGCUAAUUAUAGCAAACACGAAUAAUGCAUUGAAACAUGCAAUUGAAGGAGGAUUUAGUAGUAAGCAGAAAAUAGAGUGUUUAGCUGAAACUGGCCCUAAAGCGCGCACACACCGCCCGUCAACCUCAAAAAA